UUCUGGCUGUUGGAAGGGUUGGGUCUAGCACAGAUUUAGUCACCCAAAGAGUUGAAUAUGUUCCGGAUAUGGAUAAGAGAAGCCACCUGAUGGAUCUUCUCCAUGUCUAAAAAGUUAAUGGAUCUAAAGACAAGCAAGCUUUAACCUUGGUUUUUGUGGAAACAAAACGAGGUGUGGAUUCUUUAGAAUACUGGUUAUCUUCUAAUGGCUUCCUUGCAACAGCUAUACAUGGAGAUCGUACUCAGCCUGUGUAUGGGAUUGAUAGGAAGUGUAGAAAGCUAUCAAGAACCGUUUCAUUGUUGUUGGAUCAAGGACUCAAAGGUCAUGAAUGUUGUCUCUUCCACCGACUCUCUAUUGAUUCAACAAUAUGUAUAAAGAUUAAGAACAACCAACAAGGAAAACAAGGGGCCAUUUGGAUCUAGAUUAGAUAAUAAAGAAGACAGAGCACUUCAAACGAAGCCGUACAUGAAAGCCUCCUCACAUGCAACUCAUGCCAUUGGGGUUAGCUCAGUGCAUUGCUAGCACAUUUGUUAUUUGAUUUCCAUCAAGUUGUAGAUGGGCUACGAGAAGCUGAACUUGCAAACUCAUUCAUCGGGACUACCAAGAGAGGAAUCGGGCCUUGCUAUUCGAGCAAGACUAUCUGUAAUGGGAUCAGGGUUUGUGAUCUGAGGCAUAUGAAUACCUUUCAUGAUAAACUCGAGAUUCCGCUGAAAGAUGCAACUUUAAGGUUCUGAGGUUUUAAAUAUAGCAAUGAUAUGCUUAAGGAGGAGGUUGAGAAGUAUAAGAGGUUUGCGGAAAGACUGGAGCCUUACAUUGCAUACACUGUUCAUGUUAUGAAUGAAUCCAUUACUCAGAAGAAGAAAAUAUUGGUAGAAGGUGGACAUGCCACCAGAUUGUUCAGAAGUUCUUGUAGAAUGUUCCGCAUGAUUCAUGUGAUCUUCGAUUCCUUCAUUUUGAUCAGAGUGUGAUAUUGUUUCCUUGCUACCUUGAAGUUUUAAAGAAACAACUGCUUCGAUUGUUUUUUCA